GAUGAACGCUGGCGGCGUGCCUAAUACAUGCAAGUCGAGCGAACAGACGAGGAGCUUGCUCCUCUGACGUUAGCGGCGGACGGGUGAGUAACACGUGGAUAACCUACCUAUAAGACUGGGAUAACUUCGGGAAACCGGAGCUAAUACCGGAUAAUAUAUUGAACCGCAUGGUUCAAUAGUGAAAGACGGUUUUGCUGUCACUUAUAGAUGGAUCCGCGCCGCAUUAGCUAGUUGGUAAGGUAACGGCUUACCAAGGCAACGAUGCGUAGCCGACCUGAGAGGAUGAUCGGCCACACUGGAACUGAGACACGGUCCAGACUCCUACGGGAGGCAGCAGUAGGGAAUCUUCCGCAAUGGGCGAAAGCCUGACGGAGCAACGCCGCGUGAGUGAUGAAGGUCUUCGGAUCGUAAAACUCUGUUAUUAGGAAAGAACAAAUGUGUAAGUAACCAUGCACGUCUUGACGGUACCUAAUCAGAAAGCCACGGCUAACUACGUG
rnacentral:rRNA from 1 species